rnacentral:rRNA from 1 species
GACGAACGCUGGCGGCGUGCUUAACACAUGCAAGUCGAACGGAAAGGCCCUGCUCUUGUGGGGUGCACGAUUGGCGAACGGGUGAGUAACACGUGAGUAACCUGCCCUUGACUGUGGGAUAACUUCAGGAAACUGCGGCUAAUACCCGAUAGAAGCUCUUGCUGCAUGUGGGGGGUUGGAAAGAUUCGGCUGUUGGGGAUGGACUCGCGGGUUAUCAGCUUGAUUGUGUGGUAGUUGCUUACCAAGGGUUUGACGGGUAGGCUGCAUGAGAGGGUGGACGGCCACAUUAGGACUGAGAUACGGCCCAGACUGCUACGGGAGGCAGCAGUGGGGAAUAUUGCACAAUGGGCGGAAGCCUGAUGCAGCAACGCCGGGUGCGGGAUGACGGCCUUCGGGUUGUAAACCGCUUUCGCCUGUGACGAAGCGUGAGUGACGGUAAUGGGUAAAGAAGCACCGGCUAACUACGUG